AACUAGAAAGCAUGAGAAAAUUAUUUAUGAAAACACAUAGAACCAGUAGAGGAAAACAACAGAGAAAGAUUGAACGAGAUGGGUCCUGCGUCUGAGGGAGGAAUUUAUCAUAAACCCCGAACGGAGUAU